rnacentral:tRNA from 1 species
AAUGAAGUGCCUGAUCUAAAAGGAUUACUGUGAUAGAGUAAAUCAUGUAAUAUUUUUACCUUCAUUA